rnacentral:misc_RNA from 1 species
GAUGAAGAACGCAGCGAAAUGCGAUAAGUAAUGUGAAUUGCAGAAUUCAGUGAAUCAUCGAAUCUUUGAACGCACAUUGCGCCCGCUGGUAUUCCGGCGGGCAUGCCUGUUCGAGCGUCAUUUCAACCCUCAAGCUCUCCGGAGUUUGGUGUUGGGGCGCCUGGGGCUUUUCGACCUCAGGGCCCUCAAGUCCAUCGGCGGGACCGCCAGGACACUGAGCGCAGUAGUAUUAUUUCGCUUGGUAGGAUCUUCCACGGCGGGUCGAUCUGGCCGCUAAACCCCCCAAUUCUCACCAAAGGUUGACCUCGGAUCAGGUAGGAAUACCCGCUGAACUUAAGCAUAUCAAUAAGCGGAGGA